rnacentral:snRNA from 2 species
AGCCGUGCGAUAAGCGCAGAGCGAACUAUUCUUUCGCCUUUUACUAAAGAAUACCGUGUGCUUGUCCCUUACAGCGGCAUACGCCUAUUUUUGGAGGGCUAUUCCUUCGGGAAACU